rnacentral:rRNA from 1 species
UACAGGGGGGGCAAGCGUUGUUCGGAAUUACUGGGCGUAAAGGGCUCGUAGGUGGCCAACUAAGUCAGACGUGAAAUCCCUCAGCUUAACUGGGGAACUGCGUCUGAUACUGGAUGGCUUGAGUCUGGGAGAGGGAUGCGGAAUUCCAGGUGUAGCGGUGAAAUGCGUAGAUAUCUGGAGGAACACCGGUGGCGAAGGCGGCAUCCUGGACCAAUACUGACACUGAGGAGCGAAAGCCAGGGGAGCAAACGGG